GCCAGGCAUGGUAGCACAUGCCUGUAGUCCCAGCUACUUGGGAGGCUGAGGCGGGAGGAUCGCUUGAGCCCAGGAGGUUGAGGCUGUAGUGAGCUGUGAUUGCACCACUGCACUCCAGCCUGGGCAAAAGAGUGAUACCCUGUUUCAA
rnacentral:SRP_RNA from 2 species